GACAGAGGGUGCAAACGUUGCUCGGAAUUACUGGGCGUAAAGCGCGUGUAGGCGGACCCGCAAGUCGGACGUGAAAUCCCUGAGCUCAACUCAGGAACUGCAUCCGAAACUGCGGGUCUGGAGUGGUGGAGAGGGAAGCAGAAUUCCUGGUGUAGAGGUGAAAUUCGUAGAUAUCAGGAGGAACACCGGUGGCGAAGGCGGGUCUCUGGGCCGAUACUGACGCUGAGGAGCGAAAGCGUGGGGAGCGAACAGG
rnacentral:rRNA from 1 species